rnacentral:tRNA from 1 species
GGGGAUUUAGCUCAGUGGUAGAGCGCUUGCCUAGCAUGUGCAAGGUCCUGGGUUCGGUCCCCAGCUCCG